rnacentral:rRNA from 1 species
UACGGGGGGGGCAAGCGUUGUUCGGAAUUACUGGGCGUAAAGGGCUCGUAGGCGGCCAACUAAGUCAGACGUGAAAUCCCUCGGCUUAACCGGGGAACUGCAUCUGAUACUGAGGAUCUUGAGUUCGGGAGAGGUGAGUGGAACUGCGAGUGUAGAGGUGAAAUUCGUAGAUAUUCGCAAGAACACCAGUGGCGAAGGCGGCUCACUGGCCCGAUACUGACGCUGAGGCACGAAAGCUAGGGGAGCGAACGGG